rnacentral:rRNA from 1 species
UACGGAGGGAGCUAGCGUUGUUCGGAAUUACUGGGCGUAAAGCGCGCGUAGGCGGCUUUGUAAGUUAGAGGUGAAAGCCCGGGGCUCAACCCCGGAAUUGCCUUUAAGACUGCAUCGCUAGAAUCCGGGAGAGGUGAGUGGAAUUCCGAGUGUAGAGGUGAAAUUCGUAGAUAUUCGCAAGAACACCAGUGGCGAAGGCGGCUUACUGGUCCGGGUUCUG